UCCACCCUCCUCGCGCUGGACGGAAACCCUAGCCGCCCGUCCAUGGCGACCCACCGCAGCACCCAAAGGCCUCGACGACGGCGGUAUGGUAGGAGCAACGGCGACCAGCGACGGCCAUGGCGACCCACCGCAGCCUCCAAGACCUCGACAACGGUCGGUGCUACGGUGAGGUACAGCAACCAGCGACGGGACGACGCCUAAAUCCACCGG